GGGUUGUGAGGUUAAGCGACUAAGCGUACACGGUGGAUGCCCUGGCAGUCAGAGGCGAUGAAGGACAGUGCUAAUCUGCGAAAAGCGUCGGUAAGGUGAUAUGAACCGUUAUAACCGGCGAUGUCCGAAUGGGGAAACCCAGUGCAAUUCGUUGCACUAUCGUUAACUGAAUACAUAGGUUAACGAGGCGAACCGGGG
rnacentral:rRNA from 1 species